rnacentral:snoRNA from 1 species
GGCCUGAUGCCACGUCUCUGGUAGCUACAUGCUUUGACCAGAGAUGCUAUGAUCAGGCCGAUACAAAAGUCGUUUCACAUGUUGAUAGGAACCUGGGGACGGCUUCUCCAUCUGUCCCACAGAGCCGGUUUCUGUGAUCACAUUC